CAGCAGCCGCGGGAAAACAGAGGGUGCGAGCGUUAAUCGGAUUUACUGGGCGUAAAGCGUGCGUAGGCGGCUUCUUAAGUCGGAUGUGAAAUCCCCGGGCUUAACCUGGGAACUGCAUUUGAAACUGGCAGACUGGAGUCUUGUAGAGGGGGGUAGAAUUCCAGGUGUAGCGGUGAAAUGCGUAGAGAUCUGGAGGAAUACCGGUGGCGAAGGCGGCCCCCUGGACAAAGACUGACGCUCAGGUGCGAAAGCGUGGGGAGCAAACAGGAUUAGAUACCCCGGUAGUCCCUGUCUCUUAUAC
rnacentral:rRNA from 1 species